rnacentral:rRNA from 1 species
ACGGAAGGCAGCAGUGGGGAAUAUUGGACAAUGGGGGAAACCCUGAUCCAGCGACGCCGCGUGAGUGAAGAAGUAUUUCGGUAUGUAAAGCUCUAUCAGCAAGGAAGAUAAUGACGGUACCUGACUAAGAAGCACCGGCUAAUACGUGUCAGCAGCCGCGGUAAUACGUAUGGUGCAAGCGUUAUCCGGAUUUACUGGGUGUAAAGGGUGCGUAGGUGGCAUGGUAAGUCAGAUGUGAAAUACCGGGGCUCAACCCCGGGGCUGCAUUUGAAACUGCCAGGCUGGAGUACAGGAGAGGCAAGCGGAAUUCCUAGUGUAGCGGUGAAAUGCGUAGAUAUUAGGAGGAACACCAGUGGCGAAGGCGGCUUGCUGGACUGUUACUGACACCGAGGCACGAAAGCGUGGGGAGCAAACAGGAUUAGAUACCCUGGUA